rnacentral:rRNA from 1 species
CCUACGGGAGGCUGCAGUGGGGAAUAUUGGACAAUGGGCGAAAGCCUGAUCCAGCCAUGCCGCGUGUGUGAAGAAGGCCUUCGGGUUGUAAAGCACUUUCAGUGGGGAAGAAAGCCUUGGGGCUAAUACCCUCGAGGAAGGACAUCACCCACAGAAGAAGCACCGGCUAACUCCGUGCCAGCAGCCGCGGUAAUACGGAGGGUGCGAGCGUUAAUCGGAAUUACUGGGCGUAAAGCGCGCGUAGGCGGUCUGAUAAGCCGGUUGUGAAAGCCCCGGGCUCAACCUGGGAACGGCAUCCGGAACUGUCAGGCUAGAGUGCAGGAGAGGAAGGUAGAAUUCCCGGUGUAGCGGUGAAAGGCGUAGAGAUCGGGAGGAAUACCAGUGGCGAAGGCGGCCUUCUGGACUGACACUGACGCUGAGGUGCGAAAGCGUGGGUAGCAAACAGGAUUAGAUACCCUGUAGUC